rnacentral:lncRNA from 1 species
GGCGGAGUUCGCAGCGUUUUUCUGUGGAAGACAACGCCCUCUCUCUUCAUCUGAGCUAAAAGGAAAAAUAAGUAACUUCUUUGUUCCCCGGUGACCUCGGGCACGCGGAUCUGAGGAGCACCGUGCAGUUGCUGCUCCUUCGAGAUCCCCUGCGAGGCCCUGGGCCUCAGUUCAAAAAGCUGUGGAAGGCCUGCGGGUGUAGGGGAAACGGCCGAGAGAGCAAAGGGGAAGAACCGGACGGGCCCUGCCCACAUCUGGCAGGCAGGAGAGAUGGUGCCAAACGACCUUCGCACCUGGGCCCUGAGACCAAAGAUGGCGUCGUCCUCCCCUGUCUUCCCUAGGCGGAAGGCAAGAACUUGGGUCGGCCUGAGCUGGGGACCAAGAAAAUAUCGGGAAGUGUCCAGUGUUCCUCUUUAAAAGAAUUAAACCUUCCUGGGCCACGCAGGGACUGACCGUGGGACCCUGGACUCUCCUCCACCUUCCACCGUGGAGCAGGCUCUGGAGCCGAGCAGCCUCCUGCGUCCCCAUCUCAUCCCCCCACUCCUCCUCACAGCACUAAAAGAUGAUGGCCUGCUUGUACCCCUGCUCCUGAGCACCUGUUUGACCUCAAAGAGCUCUCGCUUUUGGGGUGUCCGUCUCCCCAAGUCUGUCUAGGGGGCAGGAAGACCUUCAUCAGGGUUCUUGGGGGCCGAUGUGGGCUCGCUGAGUGCCUGAGUGAUGGAUGGUCUCACAGCACGGCACCACGGAGGUCCAGCCGAGCUCGAGGAGUCCCUGUGGAUUAAAAAUGCCCUUUUCGAAGGUUCUACCUCUACCAGAGGGUGGCUCCACAGAUCCCUUCAACCCAGUAUGGUGGAAAAAUAGGAAUUUUGGAAUCUUACCUUUCUCUACUGCUCACAACAGAGGAAACUGGGGUCAGGGAGGAUUUGAUGGAGUCUUUUCAUUUUUUAAAAGUCACUCACGGCCAAGCGUGAGCCACCGUGCCUGGCCCUUAUACUUGUCUUCUUGAGUGCAUGUGUGAGGCUUUCUCUAGAAGUAGAGCUCUGGAUUAUAGGUAUAAACAUCUUCAACUUUCUCAGGAAUUGUUGUAAGCAAUUGCUCUAAGCAAAUUGCUCUCCAAAGGGCUUAUAGUAAUUUACACUCCCAACAGCAGUUAUGAGCAUUUCCAUUUUUCUACAUCCUCCUAUGACUUGGUGUUGGGCCUUUUAUAUUUUGCCAGCUGAUGCAAGUAAAAUUAUAUCUUAUUGCUGUUUGAGUCUGACCAUCCUUCCCAUUAGGAAAUGUUUUGCUGAAGCCUUUAGUUGCCGACUGGUUGGGCAGACACUUCUGUUUACUUAUCACAUCUGUUUUCCUCUUUCUCAGUAAGAGAUUCCUUAAAUUUCAAUUGGGCUUAUGGCUAUUUAAAAUAAAGAUUACCUUUCCCUGCCUCUCUUACAGCCACGCGUAGCCACAUGAUUAGGGUCUUGCCAGUGGCACAUGAGCAGAAGUGGUACAUGCACUUUCAGAAAGGUGUCAAGCAUGCUCUCCUUCCCUUUUCUGUUUUCUCCUGGGCGGAAUACAGAUCUGAUGGCUGCCUCUGAAGCAGCCUUCUUGGACCAUGAAGUGAACAUGGGAACAGAGGCCAUCCACAGCAGAGGAACAAGUUAAAGGAAGCAUGGGUCCCUGCCCCAUGGAGUAUAGCGUCAUCCCUGGACUGCCCACGCAGACUUAUACAUGAUGGGAAAAUGUCUCUUUUUGUUUGUUUAGGACACUGUUUCUCUGAAUUUUCUCUCACUUGCCAGCAAUUCUAAUCCUAAAAAUACA